rfam:Spirochaetes bacterium GWF1_49_6 gwf1_scaffold_1579, whole genome shotgun sequence.
CGGGCUGUAGCGCAGUUCGGUUUAGCGCACUACCUUGGGGUGGUAGGGGCCGAGAGUUCAAAUCUCUCCAGCCCGA